rnacentral:rRNA from 1 species
UACAGAGGUGCCAAGCGUUAGGCGGAAUCACUGGGCUUAAAGCGCGUGUAGGCGGGUCGUUAAGUGUCUUGUGAAAUCCCACGGCUCAACCGUGGAACUGCUGGGCAUACUGACGAUCUUGAGGCACUCAGGGGCUGUCGGAACAAAUGGUGGAGCGGUGAAAUGCGUAGAUAUCAUUUGGAACGCCAACGGUGAAAACAGACAGCUGGGGGUGUCCUGACGCUGAGACACGAAAGCCAGGGGAGCAAACGGG